rnacentral:rRNA from 1 species
UACGGGGGGGGCAAGCGUUGUUCGGAAUUACUGGGCGUAAAGGGCUCGUAGGCGGCCAACUAAGUCAUACGUGAAAUCCCUCGGCUUAACCGGGGAACUGCGUCUGAUACUGGAUGGCUUGAGAUUGGGAGAGGGAUGCGGAAUUCCAGGUGUAGCGGUGAAAUGCGUAGAUAUCUGGAGGAACACCGGUGGCGAAGGCGACAUCCUGGACCAACACUGACGCUGAGGAGCGAAGGCCAGGGGAGCAAACGGG